GAUCCUGGCUCAGGAUGAACGCUAGCGGCAGGCUUAACACAUGCAAGUCGAGGGGCAGCGCGAUGUAGCAAUACAUUGGCGGCGACCGGCGCACGGGUGCGUAACACGUAUGGAACUUACCCUUUACUGGGAGAUAGCCCGGAGAAAUCCGGAUUAAUAUCCCAUAAUAAACGAAGUGGCAUCACUUUGUUUUAGAAAGCUCCGGACGGUAAAGGAUGGCCAUGCGCACGAUUAGCUAGUAGGUGAGGUAACGGCUCACCUAGGCUACGAUCGUUAGGGGGCCUGAGAGGGUUAUCCCCCACACUGGUACUGAGACACGGACCAGACUCCUACGGGAGGCAGCAGUGAGGAAUAUUGCGCAAUGGAGGCAACUCUGACGCAGCCAUGCCGCGUGCAGGAAGAAGGCGCUACGCGUUGUAAACUGCUUUUAACCGGGAAGAAACCCUCCGACGUGUCGGAGGUUGACGGUACCGGAGGAAUGAGCACCGGCUAACUUCGUG
rnacentral:rRNA from 1 species